rnacentral:rRNA from 2 species
UCUUUGCGAAACGCUAUCAUGCAAGUCGAGCGAACUGAUUAGAAGCUUGCUUCUAUGACGUUAGCGGCGGACGGGUGAGUAACACGUGGGCAACCUGCCUGUAAGACUGGGAUAACUUCGGGAAACCGAAGCUAAUACCGGAUAGGAUCUUCUCCUUCAUGGGAGAUGAUUGAAAGAUGGUUUCGGCUAUCACUUACAGAUGGGCCCGCGGUGCAUUAGCUAGUUGGUGAGGUAACGGCUCACCAAGGCAACGAUGCAUAGCCGACCUGAGAGGGUGAUCGGCCACACUGGGACUGAGACACGGCCCAGACUCCUACGGGAGGCAGCAGUAGGGAAUCUUCCGCAAUGGACGAAAGUCUGACGGAGCAACGCCGCGUGAGUGAUGAAGGCUUUCGGGUCGUAAAACUCUGUUGUUAGGGAAGAACAAGUACGAGAGUAACUGCUCGUACCUUGACGGUACCUAACCAGAAAGCCACGGCUAACUACGUGCCAGCAGCCGCGGUAAUACGUAGGUGGCAAGCGUUAUCCGGAAUUAUUGGGCGUAAAGCGCGCGCAGGCGGUUUCUUAAGUCUGAUGUGAAAGCCCACGGCUCAACCGUGGAGGGUCAUUGGAAACUGGGGAACUUGAGUGCAGAAGAGAAAAGCGGAAUUCCACGUGUAGCGGUGAAAUGCGUAGAGAUGUGGAGGAACACCAGUGGCGAAGGCGGCUUUUUGGUCUGUAACUGACGCUGAGGCGCGAAAGCGUGGGGAGCAAACAGGAUUAGAUACCCUGGUAGUCCACGCCGUAAACGAUGAGUGCUAAGUGUUAGAGGGUUUCCGCCCUUUAGUGCUGCAGCUAACGCAUUAAGCACUCCCGCCUGGGGAGUACGGUCGCAAGACUGAAACUCAAAGGAAUUGACGGGGGCCCGCACAGCGGUGGGAGCAUGUGGGUUUAAUUCGAAGCAACGCGAAGAACCUUACCAGGUCUUUGACAUCCUCUUGACAACUCUAGAGAUAGAAGCGUUCCCCUUUCGGGGGACAGAGUGAACAGGGUGGUGCAUGGUUGUCGUUCAGCUCGUGUCCGCUGGAGAUUGUGGGUUUAAGUCCCCGCCACCCAAGCCGU